GAUGAACGCUGGCGGCGUGCUUAACACAUGCAAGUCGAACGGUGAAGCAGGAGCUUGCUCUUGUGGAUCAGUGGCGAACGGGUGAGUAACACGUGAGCAACCUGCCCCUGACUCUGGGAUAAGCGCUGGAAACGGCGUCUAAUACUGGAUAUGUGAUGUGACCGCAUGGUCUGCAUCUGGAAAGAAUUUCGGUUGGGGAUGGGCUCGCGGCCUAUCAGCUUGUUGGUGAGGUAAUGGCUCACCAAGGCGUCGACGGGUAGCCGGCCUGAGAGGGUGCGCGGCCACACUGGGACUGAGACACGGCCCAGACUGCUACGGGGGGCAGCAGUGGGGAAUAUUGCACAAUGGGAGGAAGCCUGAUGCAGCAACGCCGCGUGAGGGAUGACGGCCUUCGGGUUGUAAACCUCUUUUAGCAGGGAAGAAGCGAAAGUGACGGUACCUGCAGAAAAAGCACCGGCUAACUACGUGCCAGCCGCCGCCGUAA
rnacentral:rRNA from 1 species